rnacentral:rRNA from 1 species
AUUGAACGCCGGCGGCAUGCCUUACACAUGCAAGUCGAACGGUAACAGGUCUUCGGAUGCUGACGAGUGGCGAACGGGUGAGUAAUACAUCGGAACGUGCCUAGUAGUGGGGGAUAACUACUCGAAAGAGUGGCUAAUACCGCAUGAGAUCUACGGAUGAAAGCAGGGGAUCGCAAGACCUUGUGCUACUAGAGCGGCCGGUGGCAGAUUAGGUAGGUGGUGGGAUAAAAGCUUACCAAGCCGACGAUCUGUAGCUGGUCUGAGAGGACGAUCAGCCACACUGGGACUGAGACACGGCCCAGACUCCUACGGGAGGCAGCAGUGGGGAAUUUUGGACAAUGGGCGAAAGCCUGAUCCAGCAAUGCCGCGUGCAGGAUGAAGGCCUUCGGGUUGUAAACUGCUUUUGUACGGAACGAAAAGCCCCGGGUUAAUACCCUGGGGUCAUGACGGUACCGUAAGAAUAAGCACCGGCUAACUACGUGCCAGCCGCCGCGGUAA